AACGUAAAAGAUGAAAAUGAGUAGUUCCUCAAUGAAGAUAGUCAUGGCUCUGGCCUUAUGCUUGUUGCUUCUUGGUGGUUUCUCAGCUGAAGCAGCAAGAAGGAUCAAUAAUGAUGUUGCAGUAGCAAUAGGAACAAACGCAGGAUCACUACGGAUUGUAUGUGUCCACCCAGAAGAAAAAUGUCCAAGUACCAAGAAAGACGACUGUACUACUUGUUGCACAUCAUUAGGUUACUUCACAGGCCGCCCAGUGUUUGGAUUAUGUUGUUGCGCACAAUUUGAGCAAUGAAGGUCUAAUUUGAUCAUUUCGGAAUUACCUAAUAAGUAUUUGGAGUCGAAAAAGAAAUAAAGCAUGUUUAUAUGAUUUUACUGUUGUACUACAUGCCCUCAGCAUCAUGAAUUAACAUCAUUUUGAUCAGAAACAUGGUCUGUUUCUUUCAA